ensembl:snRNA U2 U2 spliceosomal RNA
CUUCCAGUUCUAGUUUGGCUAAAAUCAAGUGUAGUAUCCUCAACCUGUCCUUUUGGACACGCUACCCUGGUGCGCUAUGACUGAAUUAUUUUUGGAGUAGGGAGCUGGAUUUGCCCAGCCCCAUGCAUCAAUCUGGUAUUACAGUACCUCCAGGACUGGUGCACUACCA